rnacentral:rRNA from 1 species
CAGUCGACGGGCUAGCAAUAGUCAGUGGCGCACGGGUGCGUAACACGUAGGUAAUCAACCCCUUGGUUCGGGAUAACGUUCUGAAAGGAGCGCUAAUACCGGACGCGUCUUCGAGAGCUUCGGCUCUUGUCGAGAAAGACCCGCAAGGGUUGCCGAGGGACGAGCCUGCGGCCCAUCAGCUAGUUGGCGAGGUAAUAGCUCACCAAGGCGAAGACGGGUAGCUGGUCUGAGAGGAUGAUCAGUCACACUGGAACUGAGACACGGUCCAGACUCCUACGGGAGGCAGCAGUGGGGAAUAUUGCGCAAUGGGCGAAAGCCUGACGCAGCCACGCCGCGUGAGCGAUGAAGGCCUUCGGGUCGUAAAGCUCUGUGGGGAGAGACGAAGAAAGCCUGUGAAGAGCAGGCCUUGACGGUAUCUCCUUAGCAAGCACCGGCUAACUCCGUGCCAGCAGCCGCGGUAAUACGGAGGGUGCGAACGUUGCUCGGAAUCAUUGGGCGUAAAGCGCACGUAGGCGGCGGCGUAAGCGGGGUGUGAAAGCCCAGGGCUCAACCCUGGAAGUGCAUCCCGAACUGUGUCGCUUGAAUCUCGGAGGGGGACAGAGAAUUCCCGGUGUAGAGGUGAAAUUCGUAGAUAUCGGGAG